GAUGAACGCUGGCGGCGUGCCUAAUACAUGCAAGUCGAGCGAACAGACGAGGAGCUUGCUCGUCUGACGUUAGCGGCGGACGAGUGAGUAACAAGUGGAUAACCUACCUAUAAGACUUGGAGGACAUCGGGAAAACAGAGCGAAUACCGGGUAAUAUAUUGAACCGGAUGGUUCAAGAGUGAGAGACGGUUUUGCUGUCACUUGUAGAUGGAUCCGCGCCGCAUUAGCUAGUUGGUAAGGUGACGGCUUACCAAGGCAACGAUGCGUAGCCGACCUGAGAGGGGGAUCGGCCACACUAGAACUGAGACACGGUCCAGACUCCUACGGGAGGCAGCAGUAGGGAAUAUUACGCAAUGGGCGGAAGCCGGAUGGAGCAACGCCGCGUGGGUGAUGAAGGUCUUCGGAUCGUAAAACUCUGUUAUUAGGGAAGAACAAAUGUGUAAGUAACUAUGCACGUCUUGACGGUACCUAAUCAGAAAGCCACGGCUAACUACGUG
rnacentral:rRNA from 1 species